rnacentral:rRNA from 1 species
UACGUAGGGUGCAAGCGUUAAUCGGAAUUACUGGGCGUAAAGCGUGCGCAGGCGGUUUUGUAAGUCUGUCGUGAAAUCCCCGGGCUUAACCUGGGAAUGGCGAUGGAGACUGCAAGGCUAGAGUUUGGCAGAGGGGGGUAGAAUUCCACGUGUAGCAGUGAAAUGCGUAGAUAUGUGGAGGAACACCGAUGGCGAAGGCAGCCCCUGGGUCAAAACUGACGCUCAUGCACGAAAGCGUGGGGAGCAAACAGG